AGACGUGCUGAGUGUGAAGCUGUCAGCAGGGGGAAUAACACAGGGCUGUGAAUGAGUCCUGUCACUGUGAUCAGGCUCCUCCUUCUAAUCCACCAACUUAGUGUUGAUGAAGACUAAACAGAGAGAUCACAGCUUCUUUAUACUUGCUGUAGCUCACAGUUACUCUACACUGCAGAUAUGACGCCUCUGUUCAUCUCAGUGCUGCUGGCUGCUAUGUGCCUCGAAUGCAGAGCACAAAAAGACAACGUGCUGCAAGCAAAAGGAGAAGAGACUGCUGCUGCAGGAGGCACAGUGACACUUGACUGUCAGUAUAACACCAGCUCAUCAAAUCAUUAUCUCUACUGGUACAAACAGGAUGGAAACAACAGCCCCAAAUUCAUCCUGAGUCGCUUUAAAGUUGGUGAGGGGAAAAACGAGGCUGGAGACAGAUUUUCAUCCACACUGGAUUCCAGCAUCAGAUCAGUUCCUCUGAAGAUCCAGAAGCUUCAGCUGUCUGACUCUGCUGUGUACUACUGUGCUCUGCAGCCCACAGUGACAGGAAACAGCAAAACUCUGUACAAAAACCUUUGGAGCAAAGACAACAGAAUACUCCACAACAUCCACUAGAGGGAGCCACACACUGUUAAACCUCUGAUUCUUGUGUCAUUGGACUGAUGACAAAGACAACAGAGAAAUGAAGCAGUAAAGAUCAGAGACAGAGACAGAGCUGCUGUGGAAGCACAAAACUAUUUGAUUGGCUGAGCUAUUAAACUGGCCCCGCCCACUGAACUUGAGCUCAUCCAAUGACAUUAUUUGUUGGUCAUUGUGCUGCAGUGGAAGAACAUUGUUCAUGUGCUGUCUGUCUGGCUUUAAUAACUCCAAAGACAUGUUGCUGCACCUCUUUUUGCUUCUAUCUCACAUUAUAGGUGAGUUUAAGAACAGGGAUUAAAGUUUAGUUGAAGCUGCUGCAUUAAGCAGAUAUACAGACUGCAUUUCACUACUUUUCUUCUUUCUUUUUCCAGGACUAACAGCUGGAGACUCAAUCACUCCUCAACAACCUGAAGUCAC